rnacentral:lncRNA from 1 species
AAGCUUAUCCCAACGCCAAGGGGGCUUAUGGUGCUCGCUUUUAAGGUCAUCCGAAAGUUCAGCCAUUUCGAUAUGCCUACUCAAACCAAGAUGUGCCAUGAGAAGGGCAACGUGAGUGAGCAGCUCCUUACUUUGCUUAAGUUGCUUGGCAUGCUCUCUCCAUGCACAGUGCGAUGCAGCAUAAGUCAGCAUGUCCGCCCACACGCUAGCAAUCAUUUUCCAUUUUUCUUCUUCAUCCCAUCGAAAUUGCUUUACCAACAUUACCAAUUUUCGGGAGAGCACGCAUCCAUCAAAAAACACCGACUUCCUUUGACCUCCUAUCGCAAGAAAUAACGAUCGAGAUUCGUCAUCAAGAUUCUCACUAAGAAAUAGUACUCUGGCAGCUUCAGUGAUUGUUAACCCCUUGGUAAAAAUUCAUUGCUUCCUUGCAGGUUUCCCGGUGUCGUACCUGACCUAUACCUUCAGGAAGCAUAGAUGGACGCAUACAGAGGAGGUACAUCAUGUAAUCAGAUAAGCGCUUGCUAAUCUGGCCAUACGGACCGACAUUACCAGGACGUUGAAGAUAGAAAAGAAUAUCGGUAGCGAUGUGCCAAAGAAGAAUACUGUGUGUGAAUUCAACCUCGUUUAUGGUCCAACUGAGUUUUAAUUCAGGGUCUGUCCCAGUAAUCCCGCUAUUUCCUCUUUCACCCAAUAGGGAAGAGAGUACAUCGAUCUUGUUCCCCAUUGCUGCAUAUUUAUUGAACCUCAUUUCAAUGUGAUCACUGAUGAAUUCAGUCAAAUAACUAUCCACAUUCUCCCAGGUAGUAUGCCUGAAUUUCAUCAAAGUGUCAUCAGUGUCAAAAAUCCUUAUUAUUUUUUUAAACAUAGAUUUAGAUUUGUUGAGCUUAGUGCAAUAACUCAAAAGGCUGUGUUGUGCCAACGAUUUCAUUCCUACCUUCUUGCCCUUCUUAAUAUGGAGCAACCAGUUAGAUGCAAUUGCCUGAUACCUAAACUUGUUUCCACCUUUCGUCAACCAGAGCAUUGUCCACUCAGAGAGAACAUGCACAACGGCAGAAUAAAAUUCCAGAAGGAUAGCUCCAACCAGCAGCAAAUAGGCUAUGGCAAUGUCAACUUUCGGGUAGCCCGACUUAGAAACAAAUAUCGUGAAGGCGGUCAACGCUGAAACGGUAGAUGAAAAGCAGAUGCAUCGUAGAAUUACACCCACCGGAGAUAGCAUUAUGGGAACCUUUGUGUAGAGGACAUCGUACAAAAAUCCUAGUUCAG